UUAAGUUAUUAAGGGCGCACGGUGGAUGCCUUGGCACUAGAAGCCGAUGAAGGACGUUACUAACGACGAUAUGCUUUGGGGAGCUGUAAGUAAGCUUUGAUCCAGAGAUUUCCGAAUGGGGAAACCCAGCAUGAGUUAUGUCAUGUUAUCGAUAUGUGAAUACAUAGCAUAUCAGAAGGCACACCCGGAGAACUGAAACAUCUUAGUACCCGGAGGAAGAGAAAGAAAAUUCGAUUCCCUUAGUAGCGGCGAGCGAAACGGGAAGAGCCCAAACCAACAAGCUUGCUUGUUGGGGUUGUAGGACACUCUAUACGGAGUUACAAAGGACGACAUUAGACGAAUCAUCUGGAAAGAUGAAUCAAAGAAGGUAAUAAUCCUGUAGUCGAAAAUGUUGUCUCUCUUGAGUGGAUCCUGAGUACGACGGAGCACGUGAAAUUCCGUCGGAAUCUGGGAGGACCAUCUCCUAAGGCUAAAUACUCUCUAGUGACCGAUAGUGAACCAGUACCGUGAGGGAAAGGUGAAAAGCACCCCGGAAGGAGAGUGAAAUAGAACCUGAAACCGUGUGCUUACAAGUAGUCAGAGCCCGUUAAUGGGUGAUGGCGUGCCUUUUGUAGAAUGAACCGGCGAGUUACGAUUUGAUGCAAGGUUAAGCAGUAAAUGUGGAGCCGUAGCGAAAGCGAGUCUGAAUAGGGCGUUUAGUAUUUGGUCGUAGACCCGAAACCAGGUGAUCUACCCUUGGUCAGGUUGAAGUUCAGGUAACACUGAAUGGAGGACCGAACCGACUUACGUUGAAAAGUGAGCGGAUGAACUGAGGGUAGCGGAGAAAUUCCAAUCGAACCUGGAGAUAGCUGGUUCUCUCCGAAAUAGCUUUAGGGCUAGCCUCAAGUGAUGAUUAUUGGAGGUAGAGCACUGUUUGGACGAGGGGCCCCUCUCGGGUUACCGAAUUCAGACAAACUCCGAAUGCCAAUUAAUUUAACUUGGGAGUCAGAACAUGGGUGAUAAGGUCCGUGUUCGAAAGGGAAACAGCCCAGACCACCAGCUAAGGUCCCAAAAUAUAUGUUAAGUGGAAAAGGAUGUGGCGUUGCCCAGACAACUAGGAUGUUGGCUUAGAAGCAGCCAUCAUUUAAAGAGUGCGUAAUAGCUCACUAGUCGAGUGACACUGCGCCGAAAAUGUACCGGGGCUAAACAUAUUACCGAAGCUGUGGAUUGUCCUUUGGACAAUGGUAGGAGAGCGUUCUAAGGGCGUUGAAGCAUGAUCGUAAGGACAUGUGGAGCGCUUAGAAGUGAGAAUGCCGGUGUGAGUAGCGAAAGACGGGUGAGAAUCCCGUCCACCGAUUGACUAAGGUUUCCAGAGGAAGGCUCGUCCGCUCUGGGUUAGUCGGGUCCUAAGCUGAGGCCGACAGGCGUAGGCGAUGGAUAACAGGUUGAUAUUCCUGUACCACCUAUAAUCGUUUUAAUCGAUGGGGGGACGCAGUAGGAUAGGCGAAGCGUGCGAUUGGAUUGCACGUCUAAGCAGUAAGGCUGAGUAUUAGGCAAAUCCGGUACUCGUUAAGGCUGAGCUGUGAUGGGGAGAAGACAUUGUGUCUUCGAGUCGUUGAUUUCACACUGCCGAGAAAAGCCUCUAGAUAGAAAAUAGGUGCCCGUACCGCAAACCGACACAGGUAGUCAAGAUGAGAAUUCUAAGGUGAGCGAGCGAACUCUCGUUAAGGAACUCGGCAAAAUGACCCCGUAACUUCGGGAGAAGGGGUGCUCUUUAGGGUUAACGCCCAGAAGAGCCGCAGUGAAUAGGCCCAAGCGACUGUUUAUCAAAAACACAGGUCUCUGCUAAACCGUAAGGUGAUGUAUAGGGGCUGACGCCUGCCCGGUGCUGGAAGGUUAAGAGGAGUGGUUAGCUUCUGCGAAGCUACGAAUCGAAGCCCCAGUAAACGGCGGCCGUAACUAUAACGGUCCUAAGGUAGCGAAAUUCCUUGUCGGGUAAGUUCCGACCCGCACGAAAGGCGUAACGAUUUGGGCACUGUCUCAACGAGAGACUCGGUGAAAUCAUAGUACCUGUGAAGAUGCAGGUUACCCGCGACAGGACGGAAAGACCCCGUGGAGCUUUACUGUAGCCUGAUAUUGAAAUUCGGCACAGCUUGUACAGGAUAGGUAGGAGCCUUUGAAACGUGAGCGCUAGCUUACGUGGAGGCGCUGGUGGGAUACUACCCUAGCUGUGUUGGCUUUCUAACCCGCACCACUUAUCGUGGUGGGAGACAGUGUCAGGCGGGCAGUUUGACUGGGGCGGUCGCCUCCUAAAAGGUAACGGAGGCGCUCAAAGGUUCCCUCAGAAUGGUUGGAAAUCAUUCAUAGAGUGUAAAGGCAUAAGGGAGCUUGACUGCGAGACCUACAAGUCGAGCAGGGUCGAAAGACGGACUUAGUGAUCCGGUGGUUCCGCAUGGAAGGGCCAUCGCUCAACGGAUAAAAGCUACCCCGGGGAUAACAGGCUUAUCUCCCCCAAGAGUUCACAUCGACGGGGAGGUUUGGCACCUCGAUGUCGGCUCAUCGCAUCCUGGGGCUGUAGUCGGUCCCAAGGGUUGGGCUGUUCGCCCAUUAAAGCGGUACGCGAGCUGGGUUCAGAACGUCGUGAGACAGUUCGGUCCCUAUCCGUCGUGGGCGUAGGAAAUUUGAGAGGAGCUGUCCUUAGUACGAGAGGACCGGGAUGGACAUACCUCUGGUGUACCAGUUGUCGUGCCAACGGCAUAGCUGGGUAGCUAUGUGUGGACGGGAUAAGUGCUGAAAGCAUCUAAGCAUGAAGCCCCCCUCAAGAUGAGAUUUCCCAACUUCGGUUAUAAGAUCCCUCAAAGAUGAUGAGGUUAAUAGGUUCGAGGUGGAAGCAUGGUGACAUGUGGAGCUGACGAAUACUAAUCGAUCGAAGACUUAAUCAA
rnacentral:rRNA from 44 species